AGCCUUGUGGUGUACUUACAUGUCAGAUUGCAAACCUGAAGAAGUAGGCUAACAGCCUACCGGGGCUU